rnacentral:lncRNA from 1 species
CUUGCCCAGCGCUGUUGCACAUAGCGAAGAAAACACUUCAGCUCCAACACGACUUUGUCAAUAUCCUCUGUCUUUUCACUGAAGAUCCUGGUGGUUUACAGACUAGGUAGGGAACUGCCAGGGCUCGGUAUCACGGAUCCGAUUGUUCUUGAACUGUUUCUCCCGGGCAGAUUGAGCUGUUAUUGUGUUACCAUUGUGUUACCAUUGUGUUCGAGUGAGAGGGAGUAAAAAUCUCUUAACCUUUAGGUGUUUUAUUCCCUAGCAGAGUAAGUACAGAGUGCAGAUCUGAACAGGAAUUCAUUGCUGCAUCUGUUUCUGUCUCUGCUUCCACUGAUGUGAAGAAUUUGCUUGUGUUCUCAAUAUCCCGUGUCUGCUCUUCAGCCUGUUGGGUUGUAUUCCAGUAGGAUCAGCUGGUUAGAGAGAGUUCUGUGGUGUCUAGUGAGUCUGCAUUGGCCUGUCAGCAGUACCUUGACUCCCAGUGUGUGAGAAGCGAUGCCCAUCUCCCUACUUCACUGUGCUGUUCUACUGGCUAACUGACAGAUCCAAGAUGAGCCCGAAGGAGUGCAGCUGUGAGCCCAGCAGGGUGAAAUGGUUCUCCUCCUGUGUGCAGCGCACAGGCUGCCAGUGCCCCGGGCCAGGUGACAACUGCCCAUCGCUCUGCUGUCCUCCAGGCAGUGGAGAAGCUGCUGCGCAAAACAUCUGGGCAGCAUCUGGAUGAGUCCUUGGCUAAGAGCACUGUCUUGACCAUAGAUGACUAUGUUGCCGGUAUGUAAACCCCUUUAAUUCCUGCCUCUUAAACGGAUGUCUUACUGCUGUGCUGUGGUCUGUUUCCUUGCCUGUGCCACACAUUGAUGCAUCUAAUG